CGCCUCUCGCGGAACAUGACGCUCGAACAGGGGAAAAAAAAAUUCCCUAGCUGGCAGUGGCAAAUACCAGUAAAGGAUCUCUGGUGUAUAUAUAUAUACCAGACCUCGCAUUACAGCCAGCAGGGAGUAACGGCUGUCCCCCUACUCACAGCUGCACAGGGUCUGAGCUGCAGUGGCACAACCCUAGCACCCAGGGCUUUAAGCCUGGUCCAACAAAUGAGAUUGUGGUGUUGUCAGCUAGGCCAAAGAGAGAAGAUUGGCUGAAGUGAUCAGACUAAAGAUGAACCUCUAAUUGAACUGAAUGUCCAUACACAGACACACACAACAUCCCUGUAGAGCUACACAACACUGAAGUAGAAUUUGACUUGAAAAGCAUUAAUUUAUAAAAUAGUAAAAAAGGAUACUGAUUAAAUAUUGAUCUGUUUCUCACCCACAUCUAUCAUUUAGCUUCUGAUGAUAAAGAUUUAACCACUUGGGUAUUAUUAAUUAUUUAAUGCUACCUUUAUGUACAUUUUGGAGCUUCAAAAUGUUGGUCACCAUUAACUUGUAUUGUAAGGACCACAGAGCUGAAAUAUUCUUCUAUAGAUCUUUGUUUGAGUUCAGCAGAAGAAAGAAAGUCAUACACAUAUGCGAUGGCAUGAGGGUGAGUAAAUAACGAGAUCAAUUUUAUUUUUGUGAACAAUACUUUUAAGUAAUUGUACCUCAUCACACAUUAUACAUUUCUAGGGAAAGUUCACCUAAAAAUGAUCAUUCUGUCAUCGUUUACUCAACCUCAUGCUAUUCCAUCAAAACUUACUUGACUUUGUUUCUUCUGUGACACACAAAAGGAGAUGUUUUGGAGAAUGUUAAGGAGUGACUGUUAACCUCAGUCACCUUUCACUAUCAUUGUAUGGAAAAAAGAUGCAACCAAAGUCAAUGGUGACUUAGGCUAAUAUUUUGUCUAGCAUCACAUUAUGAUGACUGAACAUGUUUCUGGUACAUAUAUGUAAUGUUAAUAAACGUGUGAAGCUAGUGAUGUGUAUCUGACCAAAUGUAUUUGCUGUAAGAACAUGUGCAUGUUUGUAUUAGCAGUUUUGUUUAAAUGCGUUCUGAAAUGUUUUAAGUGCAGUUUUGGUUUCUAUGAUAACGGAAUA